rnacentral:tRNA from 1 species
GCCCUCGUAGCUCAGGGGAUAGAGCACCGCUCUCCUAAAGCGGGUGUCGCACGUUCGAAUCGUGUCGAGGGCA